CAGCCGCCGAAAUGCUUCGUCUGGCCGGUGGGACGGUCGAGAAAACUUCAGGUACUGUGACAAAAAGUUUGGAGUUUGUUAAGUCGUCGUCAGCGAGUCGGCCAACCUGUUACCGCUACAGUUAUGAUUUUGAGCGCAAAAGUUGUGCCACAACUUUACCCAUGUGCACAUUUCUUUCUCAUUUCACUUUCUUCAAGCAUGCUACAUACACAAACACACACAUGCUCGCUUGAGUACAUGUGGCGUUGGCAGUGGCAAACGAAUUUAUUUUAAUUCGAUAAAGUUAACAACUCGGUUACUGGAAAGAAAAGAAGGGACAGAUGCAGAGGCAGAAAUAAAAGUGAAAUUGACGACAACAAGGGCAACAUGGAAGGAAGGGCUGUGUGCGUUCGGCGCGAGAUCAUUCAAAGUCAGGUCGCGGCUUCACUUUCGUUUUCAUCUCAACCUAUUACAAAAUAACCAAUACGAAUACACAUGUCCAGUCGUGCAUUUGGAUCUCUGCCCAACACAAAACAAAUACAUCUGGAAAAAGAAGGAGUGAAAAAGUCACCUGCCUUGAGGGUGCGGGAAGCCACCAGCAAUCAGAUGAAAGAUCUCUAACUACAAGCCCAACGGACACGGAUACAUCUAAAAACGGGAGCUUCCCGGCAGAGAUAAUUUUGACAAUCUGUACAUAGAUCGCCGCGUGUUUUGUUAGCUGCACGGAAGUCUGGUACGUGUUUUUAUUUUUCUUUGGGUUUAUUACUAAGCGCAUCCGUUUCGUUUCUUUUCGUCUUUUUUUCGUGACAAUUCACAACAGUUUAAGUUUAAUUUCGAGUUUUUAAUUUUAAC